AGUAUAAUUCCAAGAAAAUAUGCAAAAGAAUCUAGAAGAUUUAACUAUUUAAACCAGUACAUAAAAGCUCAAAGUAGGGUUAUUACAAUUGCAUGCAUGAUCAAACUAAAUCUUAUUUUCUAAUUGAAAUAUGACAUUGGUAUUUCGAGAACUUAUCUGAGGUGCCAAACCUUAUAGUUACAACAAAAUAAAUUGGAAGGUCGCACUUGAAAAUUGUACAACAAACAAAAUACUCCGAUGGAGCAUGCCAUGGAGGUUUAGGCUACUGGCACAGAUGUCAAGAAUUUGAAAGACAUAUCAAGACAUGAGCAAUUUAAAAUAACAA
rnacentral:rRNA from 1 species